AUUGAACGCUGGCGGCAUGCUUUACACAUGCAAGUCGAACGGCAGCGCGGGGCAACCUGGCGGCGAGUGGCGAACGGGUGAGUAAUAUAUCGGAACGUACCCAGAAGUGGGGGAUAACGUAGCGAAAGUUACGCUAAUACCGCAUACGAUCUACGGAUGAAAGUAGGGGACCGCAAGGCCUUAUGCUUUUGGAGCGGCCGAUAUCUGAUUAGCUAGUUGGUGAGGUAAAGGCUCACCAAGGCGACGAUCAGUAGCUGGUCUGAGAGGACGACCAGCCACACUGGAACUGAGACACGGUCCCGACUCCUACGGGAGGCAGCAGUGGGGAAUUUUGGACAAUGGGCGCAAGCCUGAUCCAGCCAUGCCGCGUGAGUGAAGAAGGCCUUCGGGUUGUAAAGCUCUUUUGUCAGGGAAGAAACGGUAGAGGCUAAUAUCCUUUGGUAAUGACGGUACCUGAAGAAUAAGCACCGGCUAACUACGUG
rnacentral:rRNA from 1 species